UUUUGUAUUUAAGAAGAAAUAUGGUAUGUCCGGAAAAAUUUUUUACCCCGACGUCGCCAAAAAAAUUUUGAGAUGCCUUUUUUUUUUUUAAAGUGCCCUUCAAAGCCUGCCCCCCCCCCCAACUUUUCUAAGCUUCCUACGCCCCUGGUUUAUAUCAAACGAGAGCGUAUUAAGAAAUCCACGUUGAUCACAAUCUAACGAUUCAUACAAUUGUAAAUUCAUAAAUACGAGCCAGUGAAAAUAGGAUUCUUUUGUCGUAUGUGACUCUAUCGGGUGGUAAUAUGUCUCGCACGUGAUUGUAAAGUCCUAGUAUUUAUAUGUAGCUUCACAUAUGAGUAAUUUUUCGCGGAAAUAGGUG